ensembl:lincRNA
UGGGGGUUCUUGUUGGGAGUUUAUUGUAAUUAUUUUUAAAAACCGGUGCUUUCCACCUGGAAGAAACAAACUAGAGGGGCCGGCUAAUGAAGGAACUUAGGUUUGCAAAACACCAUAAAUAAUUCAUUAUUGUAUUUCAAGGGAAAAAAUAGCUUUCUUAAAUCAUCCCUGUAAUAUAAAUGGCAGACUUACAGUAUGGUCCUGGUAAGUCUAAAUUUUUAAAGGAGCAAUAUUCAAAGAGACAUAGAUGUCUGUAUUAAUUAUUUAUUCGCCGGUGCCUUCCUUCGUUUCUGACUUAUUAUUAAUUAGGCGCCUCUAGUCUUUCACAGAGCGCUCCACUGAGCCGGUUGCAGCUUUAAAUAUGAAUUAAAAGCAAAUCCAAGCUACUGUAAUGCGAAAAUUAUUCCGUGUCUUGCAUGGCAGAGAUGAAUAGCCGCGCGGAUCAAUACCGUGAAACUCGGCUCCCAACGACAAGGUUAUUGAUAGUUCGUAGUAAUGACAUUAAUGAUGGAAAAAGGGAACAACCACCCACCCGCCUUGGAAACUUUUUAAGCCACUGAAACCCCCGCAAUAAAAACGGGAAGGGGGCAGGAAUUGGGCUUAAGUGUAAGAAGAAAAUUAUUUAUGAAACCCGGAUAAAUGACUUCGGAACUUUGAUGCAUUUGAACCUAAAGCUCUUGGCUUCUGGCGGCCCUGGCUCCAGCUGGGGAGACCGCGAAAACCCCAAGCCGUGGAGGGCUGAGGGCGCCGGGUAAGCUACAGCAGCCUCAGCCUCCGGUGUGUAGUCCCUCUGCUCGGUUCUCCGCUGGGAGAGCCCGCUGGAGGCGCUGAACGCAGAAGAUUCUGGAAGUGGGUAGAAGGAGACCGACGCGUGAAGCUGUGCCCCAGUAUCUAGGAGGGGACAGGAGGCCGCACCUCUUUGCGGCCAGGACUUCAGCCUAGGUUUUUCCUCCGGUUGGCUUGGCACUGGUUCCCUAAGCGGGGUCAAACGCUGCGGCCUCCUGGGGGCCAGGGGGCUAGCUCACCCGGGCCCCUAGGGAUGGGAAAGCUGUUCCAGACCCCUCAGACAGCCUAGGCUGUGCAGCCUUUGCUUCCCACUGCACCCUGAGGCUGCCCUGCGAUGCUGAGAACUCUAGGCAUACAGAGCAGGCAGGACCCAAAUCGAGUCCUCUGCGGCCACAGCUAGGGGGAACGCGUGCAGCGGGGAUAUGAAAGGUUACAUCCUGACCCUGGGAGGUUGCCAGAAAGGUCAGAGCCCAAGGGAAGGUUGCAAGCCCGUGGUCCCCUCCUCCCCUCUGCAAGGAGCUCAGUCUCCCGGUCACCCUCCCCUCCCCAGCACGAGGACAGGCCUCUGAGGGCAGAGGUCGUGGUGACCCUGACAGCUAGGCGAAGGGCUGCCCAGCCGCUGCAGGUUGCUGAGGGUAGGCAGACAGGCCUGGCCACGAUUCUGGUGCAUCCUGGCUGUUUUGGGUGAGAGCGGGAAGUUGCGACUCAAUCUCUGGCGCGGAAAGGUACAAGAGGACGUCAGGUGCCAGGGGCGGGUGGGUCGAUCAUAGUUUUCUUCAGAAAUAGGGAUGAUGUAUUUUUGUCUAUUUAGUCUCUUAAUACACUCUCACUUCCUCCUUUUCUCCCUUUUCCCGUUUCCUUUCCAACAUCAUCUUUCAUUCUUUUCAUCCUACAUCCUCUCUUCCAGUUUCUUCAUUGCCAUCCUCCAUCCUUCCCUCCUUUCUCUCUCCCUUACCUCCAGUCUUAUUUCUUGCCCCUAGCUUCCUGCACGCCUCCACUUCCUUCGACUUCUGCACCCCUUGAUGGUCAAAGGAAAAGGUGUCUGUUAUUUGAGCACCAAUACCAAGGAAUCCCCUCCCCCCUUUUUGAAGGAGGGGCAGGUGAGCAAAGAGCCCACCAGCGCUUCCGUGGUCCCUUGCUGUUGCCGGACCUCCUUGAAGUUUCUCAGCUAGAUUUUUGCUACUGCCAAGGUUCAUCUGGCUGGAGCUCUGGCUUGCCAUCCUUUGGGAAGAGUUUCUAGGGCUUCGUACUCCGGUCAGCAAGACUUCUGCGUGCUUGUUUUUAUUUUUACUUUAUUUUCUUAAUUAAAGGGGGAAAUCGAAAUGAAUCUCAGAGGCUAUAACCACUAAAAUCACCAGCUGAGCCUUAGCUCUAUUUCAGGACAAAAGGAUGACUAAGUUGAAACCGGUCUCCGGAUAGUUAGACCAAACCCAAACUUCCUGCUUCAGAGAAAAAAAAUCUCUUUUGAGGUCCACUAUGAAGUUUGUGUUUCAGAGUAGCAACACCCCCUAUUGGAUCCACGGCCCCAUCCCCACAGGGUAAACAGAGAACGAGUCUUUUCAGAAAGGAAACACAACAGACUGC